rnacentral:rRNA from 1 species
UAGCGUAAUCAUUUGUUCUUUAAUUGAGGACUAGUAUGAACGGCCCCACGAGGACUAUACUGUCUCCUUUUUCUGAUCAAUGAAACUGAUCUCCUCGUGAAGAAGCGAGGAUAGACAUAUAAGACGAGAAGACCCUAUGGAGCUUUAAACAACAGAUAUUUGCUAAAUCUAAAUUUUAUCUGAAAACUAAACAAAUUAAAGCAUUUUACUCUUAAGUUUUAGGUUGGGGUGACCACGGAGAAAAAAUCAACCUCCACGUUGUAAGAGGCCUCUCGGCCUCUAAGCUAAAAGCCACAGCUUAAAGCAUCAGCACAUUGACCUCUAUUGACCCAAUAAUUUGAUCAACGAACCAAGUUACCCUAGGGAUAACAGCGCAAUCUACUUUGAGAGCUCAUAUCGACAAGUAGGUUUACGACCUCGAUGUU